rnacentral:misc_RNA from 1 species
GAUGAAGAACGCAGCGAAAUGCGAUAAGUAAUGUGAAUUGCAGAAUUCAGUGAAUCAUCGAAUCUUUGAACGCACAUUGCGCCCGCCAGUAUUCUGGCGGGCAUGCCUGUUCGAGCGUCAUUUCAACCAUCAAGCCCUGCUUGCGUUGGGGUCCUGCGGCUGCCCGCAGGCCCUGAAAACCAGUGGCGGGCUCGCUGUCACACCGAGCGCAGUAAUACAUCUCGCUUUGGGCGUGCGGCGGGUUCUUGCCGUUAAACACCCCCUUUUUACCAAGGUUGACCUCGGAUCAGGUAGGAAUACCCGCUGAACUUAAGCAUAUCAAUAAGCGGAGGA